rnacentral:rRNA from 1 species
UACGUAGGGUGCAAGCGUUGUCCGGAAUUAUUGGGCGUAAAGAGCUCGUAGGCGGUUUGUCGCGUCUGCUGUGAAAAUCCAGGGCUUAACCCUGGACCUGCAGUGGGUACGGGCAGACUAGAGUGCGGUAGGGGAGAUCGGAAUUCCUGGUGUAGCGGUGAAAUGCGCAGAUAUCAGGAGGAACACCGGUGGCGAAGGCGGAUCUCUGGGCCGUAACUGACGCUGAGGAGCGAAGGCCAGGGGAGCAAACGGG